rnacentral:rRNA from 1 species
AACCUCCGCAAUGUGAGAAAUCGCGACGGGGGGAUCCCAAGUGCCAUUCUUAACGGGAUGGCUUUUCAUUAGUGUAAAGAGCUUUUGGAAUAAGAGCUGGGCAAGACCGGUGCCAGCCGCCGCGGUAACACCGGCAGCUCUAGUGGUACCAAUUUUUAUUGGGCCUAAAGCGUCCGUAGCCGGUUUAAUAAGUCUCUGGUGAAAUCCUGCAGCUUAACUGUGGGAAUUGCUGGAGACACUAUUAGACUUGAGACCGGGAGAGGUUAGAGGUACUCCCAGGGUAGAGGUGAAAUUCUGUAAUCCUGGGAGGACCGCCUGUUGCGAAGGCGUCUAACUGGAACGGUUCUGACGGUGAGGGACGAAAGUUAGGGGCGCGAACCGGAUUAGAUACCCGGGUAGUCCUAACUGUAAACGAUGCGGACUUGGUGUUGGGGUGGCUUUGAGCUGCUCCGGUGCCGAAGGGAGCUGUUAAGUCCGCCGCCUGGGAAGUCGGUCGCAAGACUGAAACUUAAAGGAAUU